GGAAUUUUGGACAAUGGGCGCAAGCCUGAUCCAGCAAUGCCGCGUGAGUGAAGAAGGCCUUCGGGUUGUAAAGCUCUUUUGUCAGGGAAGAAACGGUGGACUCUAAUACAGAUCACUAAUGACGGUACCUGAAGAAUAAGCACCGGCUAACUACGUGCCAGCAGCCGCGGUAAUACGUAGGGUGCAAGCGUUAAUCGGAAUUACUGGGCGUAAAGCGUGCGCAGGCGGUUUGGUAAGACAGAUGUGAAAUCCCUGGGCUCAACCUAGGAAUUGCAUUUGUGACUGCCCGGCUAGAGUGUGUCAGAGGGGGGUAGAAUUCCACGUGUAGCAGUGAAAUGCGUAGAGAUGUGGAGGAAUACCGAUGGCGAAGGCAGCCCCCUGGGAUAACACUGACGCUCAUGCACGAAAGCGUGGGGAGCAAACAGGAUUAGAUACCCUUG
rnacentral:rRNA from 1 species